AUUGAACGCUGGCGGCAGGCUUAACACAUGCAAGUCGAGCGAGCGGCGGACGGGUGAGUAAUGUCUGGGAAACUGCCUGAUCGAGGGGGAUAACUACUGGAAACGGUCGCUAAUACCGCAUACCAUCAGAUGUGCCCAGAUGGGAUUGGCUAGUGGGUGGGGUAAUGGCUCACCAGGGCGACGAUCCCUAGCGGGUCGGAGGGGAAGACAGGCCAAACGGGAACUGAGACACGGUCCAGACUCCUACGGGGGGCAGCAGUGGGGAAUAUUGCACAAUGGGCGCAAGCCUGAUGCAGCCAGGCCGCGGGUGUGAAGAAGGCCUUCGGGUUGUAAAGCACUUUCAGCGAGGAGGCGUUACUCGCAGAAGAAGCACCGGCUAACUCCGUGCCAGCAGCCGCGGUAAUAC
rnacentral:rRNA from 1 species